rnacentral:lncRNA from 1 species
GGACACUGCAAGGGAUCAUGGAUCACGAUGGAACCCUAGGAAAUACAGUGAACAGACAAUAACUGAGCAAGUACCAGGUAAAAAUACCAAAGAGGAAACAGAGACUUUGCCUGAGACACCUUCCCCAGUCAAUUGGAAAAAAAAAGACAAGGGAUAUGCUACAGCUAUGGAAACCUGUCGUAGGUGAGC